rnacentral:tRNA from 1 species
GAGGGUAUAGCUCAAUGGUAGAGUGAGUGCCUACCAUGCACAAGGUCCUGGGUUCAAUCCCCAGUACCUCCA